rnacentral:tRNA from 1 species
AAAACUUAGUUAAAACAUAACGUUAGUUUGUCAAACUAAAAUUAUUAAAAAUUAAUAGUUUUUGA